rfam:Sorghum bicolor cultivar BTx623 chromosome 6, whole genome shotgun sequence.
AUUCUAUGAUGGGGACAUUCUAGGAUGUAGUCUUGGAAGUGCUCCCAUGCCUCUAGAACGGAUUCAUCAUGUUGUUGCUGAAAACUUGUAAUCUUCCUAUGGAGAGC